AUGACAACAGUCUACGGACCGCAUGACGAUGGGAGGAAGCCCGCCUUCCUAGCCGAACUUGCUAGCAUCCACAACUCCAUGUCCGGGCCAUGGAUUGUGAUCGGGGAUUUCAACUUAAUCAAAGACCCCGCGGACAAAAGCAACAAUCGGAUUUGCCGCUGCUGGAUGAACAACUUCCGCCGCACCCUAAACCGAUCAAGUUUGCAUGAGCUCCCAUUGAUUGGACGCCGUUAUACAUGGAGCAAUGAGCAGGACUCGCCUACGCUCAUCCGCCUGGAUCGUGCUUUCUGCAAUGUAGAUUGGGAAUUGUUGUUUCCGGCAGCCAAGCUACUCCCGCAAGCCACAUCAAUCUCAGAUCACUGCCCUCUGCUCCUU
rnacentral:rRNA from 1 species